AGCGAACGCUGGCGGUAUGCCUAACACAUGCAAGUCGAACGGCAGCUCAGUAAGUGCUUGCUCUUACGGGUGGCGAGUUGAGGCCUGGUGAAGCAUACAUCGGAAUCUACUUUUUCGUGGGGGAUAACGUAGGGAAACUUACGCUACAACCGUAUACCACCUACGGGUGAAAGCAGGGGAUCUUUGGACCUUGCGUGACUCAAUGAGCCGAUGUCGGGUUAGUUAGUUGGCGGGGUAAAGACCCACCAAGGCGACGAUCCGUAGCGGGUCUGAGAGGAGGAUCGGCCAAACUGGAACUGGGACACGGUCAAGACUCCUACGGAGGGCGCCGGUGGGGAAUAUUGGACAAUGGGGGCAGGCCGAAUGCAGCAAGACGGCGUGGGUGUGAAAGGCCUUCUGGUUGUAAAGCCCUUUGGUUGGGAAGAAAGAGCAGCAGGUUAAUACCCCGCUGUUCUGACGGUACCCAAAGAAUAAGCACCGGCUAACUUCGUG
rnacentral:rRNA from 1 species